rnacentral:rRNA from 1 species
GACAGAGGGUGCAAACGUUGUUCGGAAUUACUGGGCGUAAAGCGUGUGUAGGCGGUCCGAUAAGGCGGGUGUGAAAGCCCUGGGCUCAACCCAGGAAGUGCACUCGAAACUGCCGGGCUAGAGUAUCGGAGAGGUUGGUGGAAUUCUCGGUGUAGAGGUGAAAUUCGUAGAUAUCGAGAGGAACACCUGCGGCGAAGGCGGGUUGCUGGGCUGAUACUGACGCUGAGGCGCGAAAGCCAGGGGAGCGAACGGG